GGGGGUGUGGCUCAGCGGUAGAGCGCGUGCUUAGCAUGCACGAGGCCCUGGGUUCGAUCCCCAGCACCUCCA
rnacentral:tRNA from 1 species